rnacentral:rRNA from 1 species
AACGAACGCUGGCGGCAGGCUUAACACAUGCAAGUCGAGCGCCCCGCAAGGUGAGCGGCAGACGGGUGAGUAACUCGUUUUAACGUACCCUUAUCUUCGGGAUAGCUCCUGGAAACUGGAAUUAAUACCGAAUGUUCCCUUUGUGGGAAAGAUUUCUCGGAUAAGGAUCGGCCCGCGUUGUAUUAGCUAGUUGUUGGGGUAAAGGCCUACGAAGGCGACGAUCCAUAGAUGGUCUGAGAGGAUGAUCAGCCACAUUGGGAAUGAGACACGGACCAAAAUACGACGGGAGGAAGAAGAGGGGAAUAAUGGAAAAUGGGAGAAAGAAGGAUCAAGCCAUGCCGAGUGAGUGAGGAAGGACUUAGGGUUGUAAAGAAAUUUCAAAGGAGAAGAAAAUGAAGGUAGAAGGAGAAGAAGCCCCGGCUAACUACGUG